UACGUAGGGUGCAAGCGUUAAUCGGAAUUACUGGGCGUAAAGGGUGCGUAGGUGGUUUGUUAAGUCUGCUGUGAAAUCCCCGGGCUCAACCUGGGAAUGGCAGUGGAUACUGGCAAGCUAGAGUGCGGUAGAGGGUAGUGGAAUUCCCGGUGUAGCAGUGAAAUGCGUAGAGAUCGGGAGGAACACCAGUGGCGAAGGCGGCUACCUGGACCAGCACUGACACUGAAGCACGAAAGCGUGGGGAGCAAACAGG
rnacentral:rRNA from 1 species